CUUUCCAGUCUGGAAGAAUCUGGAGACAGGUGCUGCAUGGCUGUCGUCAGCUCGUGUCGUGAGAUGUUGGGUUAAGUCCCGCAACGAGCGCAACCCUUGCCUUUAGUGCCAGCAGUUCGGCUGGGCACUCUAAAGGGACUGCCGGUGUUAAACCGGAGGAAGUGGGGAUGACGUCAAGUCUCAUGGCCUUUAUGACCAGGGCUACACACGUACUACAAUGGCCGAUACAAAGGGCAGCGACACUGCGAGGUGAAGCCAAUCCCGUAAAAUACGGUCUCAGUCCGGAUUGGAGUCUGCAACUCGACUCCAUGAAGUUGGAAUCGCUAGUAAUCGUGGAUCAGCAUGCCACGGUGAAUACGUUCCCGGGCCUU
rnacentral:rRNA from 1 species